rnacentral:rRNA from 1 species
CAUUUACGGAGAGUUUGAUCCUGGCUCAGGACGAACGCUGGCGGCGUGCUUAACACAUGCAAGUCGAACGAUGAAGCCUUUCGGGGUGGAUUAGUGGCGAACGGGUGAGUAACACGUGGGCAAUCUGCCCUGCACUCUGGGACAAGCCCUGGA